CCCCUUCCCUGCGGCGUCACGAUGCUUAUAUUCGAUCCUGCCGGUUCGCCGGCUAUGACAAUAAACGGUCGUCGCAAUAAACCAUUCGGACCCGGGGGCGGUACCCGGCGCCUCCACCCAAGCCCGCUCGCCAGCUUUCAGCGCGGGUUUCGGCGGGGGCGAAAUAGGAUCGACGAGGGCGUAAAGGGCGAACUUUUGUUCGGUAUGGUUCCGCCGAUAUCGGGCCAAUGCAAUAGUUGCCAACGACAACUUUGCUCCGGUUGCUCAGGCAGCGUAACGCUGUUUGAAAGACCAAGUCUAAAGUCCUAACGGGUUAAGCUCCGUUAGGCGGGGUUCGGAGGCACCUGGCAACAGAAGCCUCCACU
rfam:Rhodopseudomonas palustris BisA53, complete genome.